AUUUGCAGUCGUGAUGAACAACUGUGUUUUGGACUAGAGUUUCUGAUACUGCUACAUAGUGGUAGUAGUUGACGACCAAACCCUUGGCUGUCUGAACUCAAAU
rfam:Dichanthelium oligosanthes cultivar Kellogg 1175 unplaced genomic scaffold Do_version_2_scaffold516, whole genome shotgun sequence.